AAUGAACGCUGGCGGCGCGCCUAAUACAUGCAAGUCGAGCGGAGAAGACGUAGCAAUACGUUUGUAAAGCGGCGAACGGGUGAGGAAUACAUGGGUAACCUACCCUCGAGUGGGGAAUAACUAGCCGAAAGGUUAGCUAAUACCGCGUACGCUCCCUUGGACUUCGGUUUCAGGGAGGAAAGCGAUACCGUGGGUAUCGCGCUCUUGGUUGGGCUCAUGUCCUAUCAGCUUGUUGGUGAGGUAACGGCUCACCAAGGCUUCGACGGGUAGCUGGUCUGAGAGGACGAUCAGCCACACUGGCACUGCGACACGGGCCAGACUCCUACGGGAGGCAGCAGUAAGGAAUAUUGCGCAAUGGGCAAAGCCUGACGCAGCGACGCCGCGU
rnacentral:rRNA from 1 species